AUCACACUGCAGCUUCACCUGGAAAAGUACCCGGCCGAUAAAAAAGGCUGCUGACACGUGGAGAGAGACAGAGCCACUGCCUUUAUUGGAACAAAACCCUAAAACAGGUUGAAGCAAUAAAGAUAAAAAAGAGAUCAUGUAUGCCAGGGCUGUGUGGGUGGAGCAUGGCAAGGAAGUGGAGGGAACUGCCCCAGACAACUGGAUUGAUGUUGACAACAAAACCAUUAGAUGGCCAAAAAAAGGGGAAAAGGCAGCUUUCCUCAAUAAACACCCCCCUCAGGAUGACUGGAUGACAUUCACCUUGGUGAAACGUAAAAUGACUUCCGGUAAUUUUUUGUAAAUUAUCUAAUAAGGUUCAUUAGUCUUUUGACAAAAUAAAAAUUGUAAUUCAGCCAAAUUACAAAAACCAAGUCAAAAAAAGGUGCGCUCCAAUCAGGAUUUUUGGGGCCGAUUGAUGGAAG